AGGCUGCUAACCAAAAGGUCAGCAGUUCAAAUCCGCCAUCUGCUCCUUGGAAACCCUAUGGGGCAGUUCUAUUCUGCCCUAUAGGGUUACGAUGAGUGGAAACGACUCCAUGGCAACGGGGUUGUUUUGUUUUAUUUUGGGUUUAUAUAUAACUCACACAUCCCAUUCCAUGCGUGAGUAUGCAGAGGGGGCACCAGAGAUCACGAAUGUUUAGAGCCCUCACACGCCUUAAUGCGGCCCUGUCCAGGUUACUUUUGGCUUAAAGGAGGAGGCAAUGAGAAUAAUUUCUACUAAAAGCCAUCGCCAUGGAGACAACGAAGUGAACUAGCCAAACUUCCCUGAGUCGAAGCAGAAAAAAGCAGGCUGGUGCGAGCUUGUGGAGACGGAGAGGGAAUGCGGGCAGAGAGGGCGGGGGCUGUAAUAAUUCUUGUCGCCCUAAGACUCGCCAGUUGGUAACUGCUAGUAUUCCAGACACUUCCUAAUGCCAGACAAACACCGUGCCCGGGCCUGUCUGGGCGAGAGAUCUAGUCACCGAUAGCAGCCGCGCGUCUGAGGCCAGAUCUCUCAGAGCCGUGGCUACGCUGCGAAUCAAACACAACACUGUUCUCAGAAGCGAGGAAGAAUGCAAAGGUCUGUUCAGCGUCACAACUUUUUUUUUUUUUUUUAAGGCACUCAAGUCGUUUUUAACAAGUUCCUACAAAACUUGGGCUUCCUGAGGUGAGGCUGCUUCGCACAGUGCGUGCACUGUACAAAUCCAGGGAGGAGGGAUCAGAAAGUCAGUCACAAAAAAAAGAAAGCCAGCCAGCCAGCCCGCCCCAGGCACUGCAUGCCUGGAAAUGAUGUAAGGCGCAGCCACUCCCCUGUUAGCACUACAACCGACCAUGUCCGGCCAGCCGCAACAGCUGCUCAAAAUGUCAGCGCCGACCGGUCAAAAGACAUCGCGACCGCCCAGCUGAAGGACUUUGCGCGCCACCUCUCGCGUCCACAUUUUCUCCAAGCACUCUCAGGAACCUGGCAACAGAUAACAUGGCAACCUUUGGCUUAUACAAUAGCAAGUGGCAUCAUUUCAGAAAACAAAUGGAUUUUUCUUUCUUUUUUUUUUUUUCAGGCCAGCUGCCUCUCUGUCCCCACCCCCGCACCCAUCCUCCGCCCUCCCCACCAAAAAGUCUGAGAAAACAAAGUAUUGCUGCUGGCAAUCCUACUCCUGAGGGCCCCCUGGUGGCCAAACUUGGAUCAUCACCGAUGCACCUUGCUGCAACAUGUCACUGCAGUGCUGAGAACAGUGAAUGGCAGUGCCUUGGUAAGUACUUGUUACAUCAAGGAAUUAACAGGGAUGAGAAGACUUCCUGGAGAAAAAGAAGCAGGGCUAACCAUCAGGAAAGGGAGGUUGCCAGGUGAGUACGAUGAGUGCCUCAGCAAAGCCAUUCUCUGGGACCUUGGAUGUCACAGUAUCAUCUCUGAUCACCAGUGCCCACUUCUGUUCAGUACUGGCCAGGUGCUGGCAAAAUUAUGAUUGGUCAUCUUGUGACAUGGAGUUGGUAGGUCAACUCCCAACAUAAUUCCAGCUGAAACCAGUUGGACCCAAGGAUUGUCCACCUAAUUCCUUCCAUUCUUUCUGCUUGGCUUUAUCCAGAGGUGCUAGGCAAGAGGCUGGGUGAGGGGCCGUGAUGGCUGAUGCAGUUGCUUGUCUUCUUCUUACUUUGUUUUACUUUUAGUAUUCUUUGACUUCUUAUGCUGUCCUCUGUUUACACAGGAUGUAAACCUUAGAAGGACAUCUGAGGGCCAAGGAACUUUAUUUGCCUCCUGGUCUUACUUAAAAUAGGACCUUGGAGCCUGGAAUAUAAGGAGAAAUCUGGAAUGGAAUCAUCCUGCCCAACCUAACAUGCAACGAGGACUCCCCUGCUAUGUGGCUGUGUGGCUGGUAAACAAAGUAAAAUCCAAGUAUACUCAACCCUGAGGCUCUAUGCAGCAGCUGAUAGCUUCUAGAUAGGAGCAGGGUGUCAGAUCUUGGCAGUUCAGUGAGUGGAGUCCCUGUGGUGCAAACAGUUGAUGUGCUUGGCUACUAACCAAAAGGUUGGUGGUUCAAAUCCACCCAGAAGCACCUUGAAAGAAACAUCUGGCAAUCUGCUUUGAAAAAAUCAGCCAUUGAAAACCCUGUGGAGUACAGCUCUAUUCUGACGCACAAGGGGUCACCAUGAGUCAGAACUGACUCCACAACAACUGGUUUUUUGUUUUUGUUUGUGUGUGUGUGUGCGUGCGCUUGAGUGGCCUGUGUAUAAUACGAAGACAGGUCACAUCUCAUGAGUGUUCAGACUAUGAAACCUCAGUCAGGAUUUCUCAGUAUCCUCUGCUCACUGGCUACCUCUCUGGGCAGAUUUUGUACAAAAGCAGCCCACAGUUGCUAGCCUCUGGACAGAGGGACUUGGGAUAAGGACUUGACCUGGAGCAGAAGCUUUUGCACAAGGCAAACACAGACCCCCAAAGCUGGGAAACAGGAUGUGUGGGGAAGUCCAGAAAACAGAAAAUGCAUCCCCCAUUCCUUCCUGUUGGCUUCGGCCAGAUGAGAAAUAAUUACCUGGGUCUGCAGAGCAGGCAUGGGGGAGGCCACCAGGGCCCUGACCUGUGUAGUUAAUUAUUUACCCUACUCUUUUCCUCCUUCCUCCCUGAUACCUCCUUUUUCACAGAAAACUUCUCUGGGUUAGCCUGUGGAAUACUGUUUAAGCCAGUCCACCUGACCCAGAAAGGGCACCAGCCUCUUCCAAAAACCAAAUCUAUUGCCGUGGAGUUGAUUCCGACUGAUAGUGACCUUUAAGGACAGAGUAGAACUGUCCCAUAGGGUUUCCAAGGAGCAGCUGGUGGAAACACUGGCCGUUCCUAUGCCAUCCUCACAAUUGUUCCUAUGCUUGAGACCACUGUUGCAGCCAGCGUGUCAGUCCAUCUCAUUGAGGGUCUUUCUGUGUUUCGAUGACCCUCUACUUUACCAAGCAUAAUGUCCUUCUCCAGGGACUGAUUCCUCCUGACUACAUGUCCAAGGAGCAUUCUGAUUGUACUUCUUCCAAGACAGAUUUGUUUGUUCUUUUGGCAGUCCAUGGUGUGUUCGGUAUUCUUCACCAACACCACAAUUCAAAGGCGUCAAUUCUUCUUUGGACUUCCUUAUUCAUUUUUCAGCUUGCCCAUGCAUAUGAGGCAGUUGACAACAUCAUGGCUUGGGUCAGGUGCACCUUAGUCCUCAAGGUGACAUCUUUGCUUUUCAACACUUUAAAGAGGUCCUUUGCAGCAGAUUUACCCAAUGCAAUGCGUCUUUUGAUUUCUUGACUGCUGCCUCAUGGGUGUUGAUUGUGGAUCCAAGUAAAAUGAAAUCGUUGACAACCUUAAUCUUUUCUCCAUUUACCAUGAUGUUGCUUAUUGGUCAAGUUUUGAGGAUUUUUGUUUUCUUUAUGUUAAGGUGCAGUCCACUCCGAAGGCUGUGGUCUUUGAUCUUUAUCACUAAGUGCUUCAAGUCCUCUUCACUUUCUGCAAGCAAGGUUGUGUUAUCUGCAUAUUGCAGGCUGUUAAUGAGUUUUCCUUCACUCCUGAUGCCCUGUUCUUCAUAGAGUCCAGCGUCUCAGAUUAUUUGCUCAACAUACAGAUUGAAUAGGUAUGGUGAAAGGGUACAACCCUGACACACACUUUUUCUGACUUUUAAACUGUGCAGUAUCCCCUUGUUCUGUUUGAACGACUGCCUUUUGAUCCAUGUACAGAUUCCUUAUGAGCACAAGUGUUCUGGAAUUCCCAUUCUCCACAAUGUUAUCCAUAAUUUGUUAUGAUUCGCACAAUUUAAUGCCUUAGUGUAGUCAAUAAAACACAGGUAAACAUCUUUCUGGUAUUCUCUGCUUUUAGCCAAGAUCCACCUGACAUCAACAAUAUACCCCUGGUUCUGCAUCCUCUUCUAAAUCUGGCUUGAAUUUCUGGCAGUGCCCUGUUGAUAUACUGCUACAGCCACUUUUGAAUGAUCUUCACCAAAAUUUUACUUGCGUGUGAUAUUAAUGAUAUUGUUUGAUAAUUUCUGCAUUCAGUUGGAUCACCUUUCUUGGAAAUAAGCAUAAAUAUGGAUCUUUUCCAGUUGGUUGGCCAGGUAGCUGUCUUCCAAAUUUCUUGGCAUAGAUGAGUGGGCACUUCCAGUGCUGCAUUUGUUUGUUGAAACAUCUCAAUUGGUGCUCAACUGACCCUUUAUGAUAGUCUCAUUACAUUCUUACAACAACUUCUCAAAGAGGUGAUGAUGUCACUACUACAGAUGGAUCAACGCCCAUGGAAGCAGCAGUCAAGAAAUCAAAUGAUGUAUUGCAUUGGGAAAAUUUGCUGCAAAAGAUAUCUUUAAAGUGUUGAAAAGCAAAGAUGUCACUUUGAGAACUAAGGUGCACUUGACCCAAGUCAUAUUUUCAACCGCCUCAUAUGCAUGGGAAAGCGGCACAAUGAAUAAGGAAGACCAAAGAAAAAUUGAUGCCUUUGUAUUAUGGUGUUGGCAAAGAAUAUUGAAUAUACCGCGGGCUGCCAGAAGAACGAAGAAGGCUGUCUUAGAAGAAAUGCAGCCAGAGUGCUCCUUAGAAGCAAGGAUGGUGAGACUUUGUCUUAGUUACUUUGGACAGGUUACCGGGAGGUAUCAGUCCUUGGAAAAGGACAUCAUGCUUGGUAAGGUGAAGGGUCAGUAAAGAGGAGGAAGACCCUCGACAAGAUGGACUGACACAGUGGCUGCAACAACUGGCUGAAACAUAGCAAUGAUUGUGAAGAUGGCACGGGACCAGGCGGUGUUUCAUUCUGUUGUACAGAGUCGCUAUGAAUCGGCGCUGACUCAAAGGCACCUAACAACAAAUACAGAUGAAACUGAGGCUCAAGAGCUCAGGUUGCCCAGGUUCUCCCAACAUUGGAGUCAGUAUUGGACCUGGGCUGUAUGCACGCUCUGCCUUCUCAUUUAUCUUUGAAAGGGCUUCGUUCCUUGUGAUCCUCCUUUGAGCCCCUGUGAGAACAAUGUCUGGGUCCUUAAGCCCUAUUGUGAAACUUUUUGGGCCAGAUAUGUCUGCAAUUCAGAACUUUUUGGAUUGUAGAGUGUUAAUUUGAAGGAUACCCCUAGCAAGGUCUAGAGCAACACCCUUCCCUUAAGUACUUGACUGUGCCUGCAGGGAAAGGUAGAAUCCUCAUAGUGCAAAUAGUUCUAAGAUCAGGUUUUGGCUAAUGGCUUUCAGAAUUAUGGAUCCAGGAAUGUUGCCCCACCUACACUGGCAGACGCCUUGGAGAGGUAGGAGGUCCCACCCUUGACUUCCUCCUGCAGAACCAUCACAGAUCGGGGAGCUGUUAUCCCAGCCAGACUCACCAGUGAAGGGUGGGCUUAUGGUUGGUGGCGGGCUUGGCAUUGUUGGUAUACAUGGCCUCUGGAACACAUAUGCCAAGGUUACAUUCCCCCUCCCUGAGGUUGAUUGGCAGGCAUUUGAGCCACUUUAGUACAUUCUGGGAUCAUGGCAGAUACUAGUGCAACUGCCUUAAGAACAAGGAAGUUGGUCUGCACCACAUUUGAGUGUUGAGAGCCAUUUGUAUGAGGGGGAUGCUUCCCGGAUGCUUCCUGGAGGAGUGAUUAUGUGAAACUUUUGUAUCUUUUAGUUUCGGUACAGCCAGAUAAGAUUUGUAAGCAUGUGUACUAUUUCCUUUGUGUUGUUGGAAAGGUGCUGCUACCAGCAUGUGAAAAUAUCCAAGUAAGUGAGUUAUUUUUAGGAUGAAAACCGUUUGUGAUGCGCUUUCUGGGCCAUGGAACCAAUAUGUCCCACAAGCGUGAUGUGCUUCAUGGAACAUGGUACUGAUAUAGCCCAUUCUAAAUCCAACUGAUAAUAAUUACGUGCAGCAAGUGCAAUGUUUAUUGAGUAUUUUCUGUGUAUUUUUUUGAAAGUUGAGUACGUUAUUUUAUGGCUCAAGUGUAACCAGGAAGUGUGAUGUACUUCCUGGGCCAUGGGACCAAUACGUCCUGCAUGUGGGAUGUGCUGUCCAUUUUUUCGAAUAAUAAAAAAACUACCAACAAUGAUUCAGCAUUCAUUCCAUUAGUGAUAAAACACGGCAUCACCAAAAAAUUCCAAACAGGAAAUAAUUGUCCCAUGAAAACCCACUGAAAAGACCAAACCCAUCGCCAUGGAGUCAAUUCCGACUCACAGUGACCCUGUAGGACAGAGUGGAACUGCCCCAUAAGGUUUCCAAGGAACAGUUGGCGGACUCAAACUGUCAACCUUUUGGUUAGCAGCCUGAGCUCUUAACCACUGUGCCACCAGGGCUCCUGACCCAUGGAAGGGUUAAGGAAAAGAGGACUCCAAGAUUAGAUUGAAUAUACUUCUGACAUCGUCUUUCCUUUGUGGAGUGACUUAGAGUUAGUGUGUUCUUUGGUUUAUCACUCAGCAUAUGUUUCACAUACUGUACUCAGAAACAUCCUUUUUUUGGUUUUUAUAGUCACAGGGAUGCUACCAGUUGCUAUCGAGUUGACAUGGACUCUUGGCAACCCCAUGUGUGUCAGGGUAGAGCUGUACUCCGUGGGGUUUAAAUGGCUGAUUUUUUUGGAAGUAGAUCACCGGGCCUUUCUUCCAAGGCGCCUCUGGGUGGACUUGAACCUCCAACCUUUUGUUUUGCAGCCAAGUUCAUUAACCGUUUGCACCACCACCCAGGGACUUCAAUACGAGGGAUAAGGGGGCUUUUAACUGCCCCUGUCCACACUGUGGAAUGAUGUCUAUAUAAAUUACAGAAUAGGGUAGUCUGAAGAAGUUGCGUGUGUGUGUGUGUGUGUGUGUGUGUGUGUGUCUUAAACUCAUCUGUUUUCAUCGUUCUCUUUCCAAUCCUCACCUUUCCCAUCCCCUAUCCUCAGGCUAAGGAGCUCUGGUGGCACAAUGGUUAAGCCCUUGGCUGCUAAUCCAAAGGUUAGUGGUUUGAACCCACCAGCCACUCCAGAGGCGACCGAUGUGGCAGUCUGCUUCCAUAAAGAUUACAGCCUUGGAAACCCUAUGGGGCAGUUCUACUGUAUCCUACAGAUCGCUGAUCUUACAGAUUAUUACUGAGUCGGAAUCAACUUGACUGCACUGAGUUUUUUUGGUUUAUCCUCAUACUACAGGCAGGACUUCACAGACAGCAACAUAAACAAAACCAAUCUCCUUUACCUUCGGGCCUACCGUCAUUUGUUACUGGAACACCUGAGAAGAGGGUGACUCCAUGCUAAACCAGGCUGAGUGCCAGCUGAUUUAAUGCAGCUCAGGGGCCUUGUCUAAAUGUUUAUCGGCAGUGGCACUCUUCAUUCAUGAAAGCAUGACCUAGUGCAUAUAGUUUGAAAAUCAUUUUCGGAAAAAGGCAGUAUUUAUACUACAUUGCAAACCCAAGAGAUAACUGAGAUAAUCCAUGUAACAUAGCUUGAAUUAAGGAAUAAAGUAAUGUUGGGAUAUAUUACAUAUAUGUAUAUAUAUAUACACUGCACACAUAAGUAGUUCAAGGAGUAGAAAUUUUAAUGAUCUAAAACAAACACUGUAUUGCCUCCUGGUGUGGAUUAAAUUCUUAUUUUCAAAAAGAACCAUAGAAAGUAAAGGCAAUAACAUUUGACUUUAUUUCUGUAUUCAUAGGUCAAAGAUUUUAUUAAGUAUUGACUCUGAGAAAGUGACCAUAUAAAAUUAUAUUGCAUUUACCCUCCAUGAAACACUCUCAAUCUAACAAGCCAGAGGGUGUUAAAACACUCUCUGUGAUGUAAGUUUGGGGUAGUGAUUGAAAUCUCAUGCUCAUGGUAUGGAGUUGGCUCAUGGUUGCAGUUUACAUCGGUGCUAAUUAUGAUUGUUAUGUUUCUGCCUGUCCUCAGAAUAGAACACAAAAGUAGUAUGCUAACGUGCAGGAAUGCAGAAAAGCUUGCAGAAACCUGAGCUCAACUGAGCUACUCUUUGGAUGGAAAUAAAUUACCAAUAAAGAGUUGGAAAAUGGAUCACAGGGGAAGGACAGCAUUUUGAUGGCUGCCGCUCAAAGGCUCAGCUCAUUUGCAGUGCUGAUAACCUUGUCAGGUCUCCAGAUAAAGGCACUUCUUGUCACCCUUGGGCACCUGGCUGGGAGGCCAUAAAACCGAGGCCUUAUCUUCUAAGGGUGGAGUUCUUCAAACCUCAGCUAGCUCACAGUAACUGAGUAAACUGAAAUUGCCUGUCAUUUACAAAAAAAGGAGGCGGGAGGAAAAAAGGAAAAAGGCAGGAAAUUGUGAUUGUCUCUCUCAGAUUUAAAAAAGGGAGCAAAACAGCAAGAAGUUUUCCGGGAGUGAGAAAAACAAGCCGGCUAGCCGUCCUGCAGCCGGGUUAACAAGACUGCUGACAGCUCAGGCCCACGUGACGGCCCAGAAAAGAGGCUCAUGCUGAUGAAAAUCCCAGAAAUCUUCUUAGGAGCCUUCCUUUCUAAAUGUAAAUGACUGAGUCAUUGCUUUGCUAAGGAGGGAAGGAAGUUGAAAUCACACCGACUGACUCAUUCUUUGCUGUUAGCUCAGGCAGUUGGGUAAAAAAUUUUAGCAAAAGCAGCAACAAAUCUACUCUAAAUACUAGCACAGUAAGGAAAUUCCUCCCUUUCGGGAUGAAUGCCAGACACACAAAAGAGCUCCUGUUGACAUCUCAUUUACAAUCUCCCCCAGGACACAGACAAGACCAUUUCAGUAAACCCGGCUCAGAAACACCUAUUGUUCAAAAUGUUCGACUAGCAACAGGCUACCACCACUCCUUAUUGUUUUGUAAAAUAAAAGAUUUAGAAAGAGAAGGAUUGGGACCCUGGAAGCUAUGAAAAGAAGAAGGAAAAAAGUUUCUUUGACUAGAUGCUGUCAAGCUUGCAUACAGAAUAAAGUUAAUGGUAUU